UGCAACUUGGUGGCCGCCAGCCGCGACCUUCUCCACUUCAAAGUGGAGUUAACGCCAAACUACUGAAAAUCUCUCCUAAAUGCGACAGUUUUUGAUCAAUGAGGCGUUGCUUUAUCUCUUGGCCAGGUUUGAGCUUUAUCCCUCCAACAUUUUCCGAGAAAAUCAAUGCUGAAAUGAUGAGAAUAGCUUUCAUAAUCCGAUCGGUGCCAAACUCAAAUUACAGUGCAGCAACUUCCACUGAGUGGCAGCCCACCGCGGUUCAAAACCAAGGGUUUCAGCAUAAGAGAAGGACCUUUCUCAUAUACGUAGUAAACCUAGAAAUGGAUAACUCGCUAAAAUGGUUUUUUUUCAACACAGUAAGCGGUAAGACAAGAAGCGAUGCACUGUGGAAGUAAAGUGGCAAUAUCCACAAUCACAUAAAUAAGGCUUUGUUGACAUUAGUACGUGACCAUAAAAACAGCCCGAAGGAAAUUGCAAUCACGAGUGAUUGAGUUGCCAUUAAUCGGAUCCUUGAGUUCUUGUACUUGAUCUUGACAUGAACAGUGCCAGUAUCAUUUAUCAUUUUCAAUCCUGAAUUACCAACAGGAAAAAAGAGUCUCCUGUCUGACUGGCUAGUCAAAAUUGGGCGACGAGCGAUCAACGUCUUCGCUCUGCUGCUCAAAGGUUCUAAAAAUAGUUAACUUUAUCUAAGAAUUAGAAAUAUUGUAUUCUUCUAUCUCGGUGCUAUAUCAACAACAAAGCAUAAUGAUUAUAUUGGUGUACACCAACA